UACGAAGGGGGCUAGCGUUGUUCGGAAUUACUGGGCGUAAAGCGUAUGUAGGCGGAUCGUUAAGUCGGGGGUGAAAUCCCGAGGCUCAACCUCGGAACUGCCUUCGAUACUGGCGAUCUUCGAGUCCGGGAGAGGUGAGUGGAACUCCCAGUGUAGCGGUGAAAUGCGUAGAUAUUGGGAGGAACACCAGUGGCGAAGGCGGCUCACUGGACCGGUACUGACGCUGAUGCGCGAAAGCGUGGGGAGCAAACGGG
rnacentral:rRNA from 1 species